rnacentral:rRNA from 1 species
CAGCCGCCACGGUAAUACGGAGGAUCCAAGCGUUAUCCGGAAUCAUUGGGUUUAAAGGGUCCGUAGGCGGUCUUGUAAGUCAGUGGUGAAAGCCCAUCGCUCAACGGUGGAACGGCCAUUGAUACUGCAGGACUUGAAUUAUUGGGAAGUAACUAGAAUAUGUAGUGUAGCGGUGAAAUGCUUAGAGAUUACAUGGAAUACCAAUUGCGAAGGCAGGUUACUACCAAUUGAUUGACGCUGAUGGACGAAAGCGUGGGUAGCGAACAGGAUUAGAUACCCCGGUAGUCCCUGUCUCUUAUAA